UGGUCUAAAUUCUAGAGGAGCGAAAUGUCAAAUAGUUCUAAAAUGUAUACGAUUCUUACCAUUGAUGUGCAUGUGCUCGCGGUAUGUCAACAAUGCUAUCAAUUGGAUUGUUCUAAGAGUCUUUAUUUUCAAUAUUAAUUUUACUCUUAUAUUGAUAUGAUUGCAUCGAAACUUUUUCGAAAAAUGACACUCACUUAUUUGGUGCCUAAAUGCAAAAGCAUUUCAAUAGUGAAUAAUUGCAAUAAAUACACAAAUUGUACUGGUGUUUUUAAUUUUGAAUAUUCUAUACUAUAUACGGACAAGGCGAAAAAUGUAUCGCAUUUUUUUUUUCGAUUACUCAUCAGACCAGAAACGUUUCUACACAAAUAUUGAUCGUAAAAACUUAAAUUACAAGUUUGAGAAAAGUAGAGAACUGAUAACAGAAAAAAGAAUGCGAAUGCGUGAGCGCAAGGAGAUUUUAGUGCAAGGGAUUCGUGAUAAAAAGUCGAAAGUCCAAGAGAAGUUGUUUAGCUCCAUACAUUGGAUAUGUUAUUGUUCAAGAACACUAUCAAUUGGCAAUCGGUCUUCUCCUUUUUGCUGGUUUAACGGAUUUGUUGGAUGGUUUUAUUGCACGAAAUUGGGUUUCGCAGGCCAGCAAACU